CUGCUACUUACACAAGGCGCUGACGGAGACUCUCGAUCAGGGUCUGCGACAAAACACUCCUUCUCAAUUCCUUCGUCCUUCCGGUUUCCUCUUCCCUUUUCCAUCGGUUUGAGUCCAGGCGAAGGUCACCGGCUGCUGGGUCAUCCACUGUCACUUACAAUUUCUUGUUUCCUGCUAGUGUGAACGAACAAAACCCUAAUAAUCUGCAGCACUGGUUCAAUUUUGUAAGAUUGGCUUGAGUAGAUUAAGGGGAUUUGGGUGUGUUAUUGCUGGAAGUGAAGUAAGGAUGUCUGAAGAAAGAAGAGUACACCCUGAUUGCAUAAAUGCUUCCAAUCCCUACCAUGAAUGCGUUGAGUAUUGCUUCAGAAAAAUAGCUGAAGCCAAGGAGUGGAUCAAGAAAGAGGAAUCAGAAGUGAGACAAGCUAUUGGUGGCGGGGAUGCUGGUGGUCCAUCACAUUCAGAUGCCCCUGAUAAGGAUCAAGAUCCUCAUGGAAAAAUACCUAACCUUGAAGAACAUGCUGAUGAGGAUAGUGAUCAUUCUGUAGAGGAUAACAUGGAACCAGACUUCACAAAACUCACAGGGAGGCAGAAAAAGUUGUUCGAGUUAAGACUUAAGAUGAAUGAAGCGAGAAAAGCUAACCAAACUGCUAUGGUUGCGGAGAAGAAAAGAAUGGAAACUCCAGAGGAGUCAAGGGGUAUUUCUAAACAAAAAUGGCUUGAAGAGAGGAAGAAGAAAAUUGGUAAGCUACUUGAUGCAAAUGGUUUGGAUAUGACAAAGGCAUAUAUGCUUGAUACAGAAGAGAUGGCAGAGGCAAAAUACAAAAAAUGGGAAAAAGAUCCUGCUCCAUUUGGUUGGGAUGUUUUCAAUCAGAAAACUCUGUAUAAUGCUUACAAAAAGCGGACAAAGAACAUAGAGUGUGAUAUUGAAGAAUAUAAUAGAAUGAAAGAAGCUGAUCCAGAGUUCUACCGUGAUGCUUCCAGCCUUCAAUAUGGAAAGACACCAAAGACCUCAGAGGAGAAGAUUGACAAGAUGGUGAAGGAGCUCCAGGACAAGGAGGAGAAGCGAAAGGCAUUUAGUAGGAGACGCAGGUUCCAUGAAGAGAAGGAUAUUGACUCCAUCAAUGAUCGGAAUGAACAUUUCAACAAGAAGAUCGAAAGAGCCUUUGGAAAAUAUACACUGGAGAUUAAGAACAACCUUGAGCGGGGAACUGCCUUGCCCGACUAAGAUUCAGAGAAGAGUGCUAUCAAUCGUUGAAGGAUGUCAAUGUUGCGCUAAAUCCUACCGUCCAUGAAAACAAAUGCAGAGGGAAAUAAAAGAGAAAACGGAUUUCAUGUGGAAACGGUGGGAAACAGGAAACAGUUUGUCUUUUACAACAAUAGUAAGGGAACCUUGGUGAUUAACAUGGUUCCAUAAUCCAGCUAUCAAGUACCCAUUUUGAGUUUGGGUGGGUACUGGAUAGUUCAAAUCUGGGCUUUUAUUUGAGUCUGUUUACAAGCAGCAUCUCACCUCCUUCCCUCCUCUCUUUAUCUUUUUUUACGUUUCCUCUGCCAGUCGAUGUGUGCACAAAAGAAAGUCCAUUAGAAGUACCAUCGUUUAUCCAUCAAGCAGAUAAUAACAGGGCCAUAACAGACAAAGUUUGGUUUUUCAAGCAAGACAUGUCAGACGUACAUAAAUUGAAUAAAGUCGGUGCACGAGACUUGUCCAUUUGCAGAGAAGAAGCAGCUUCAAGUUUGGGUCAUUGAGAUUCCCAAGCUUUUUCUUUGGCUAUGGAAGAAACUCUUUCUAUUAUUAUUCAUUGGUGGAAAUUGGGGGAUAUUGGUGAUAGCAGAGAUGGUUUUUGGUGGCUAGAGAUGGUGAAGAAGAAAGAGUGGGCAAAAUUGGCUUUUUAAAAUAUUCUAAGUCACAUGAUGUCACAUGUGAAUGGAAUAUGAGUAUGACAGAGAACUAAUGGAUGGGGGUCGCCUUGUUCUAGCCGAUCUUAGUAUAGGUGUUUUUUUAUGGAUUGCCAUUUCAAGUAUUGCUCCUAUUGGACUUCUUAUGUCAGGAUAUGGAUCGAAUAAUAAAUAUUCCUUUUCAGGUGGUC